CGCUGACGAGCAUGCCGGCCCAGAGAGAGGAGGAAAAAGGAGAAGGGAGUGGUGAGAGGACACAGCAGUGUAGAGAGUGGUAGGAGAUGAAAGCAGUCGCCACUGAGACACUGAGCUAAAAUGGACCGGCCAAAGAUGCAGAGAUGUCUGAUGGUGCGGUUGAAGAUGGAGAAAGGAAAAGGGGGAGAGAAGAAAGCGAAGGCCAUGGUGGUGGAGUUGGAGAAAAAAGGGAAGAGGAAAGAUCUGAGGAGCUCCUCCAGAGACGGAAAGCUGUUACAGGCGGCGGGAACCCAACAGACCAGAGAAUACUUGGGGACGAACUUCAUAAGACGAGAGAGAGAACACCUACACCAUCGUGGGAACGCUCUGUAGUGUGUUUAUCAUGCUCUUGGGUGUCGCUGUCGCAGCGGCGAAAAUGUUGGGCGUGCUGCCGGCGGUGGCCGCUCCGCUAGUGGUGGGUGUGCCCACCGUGUUGACUGACAGGCUGCCGGGUGGCGGCUUUUUGACUGGGACCAUCACACUCCUGUCCAACAGCAGUCGGGACCGACCUGUCGAAAGAGUGGAACUGCAUGGGCAGCAUGGGGUGCGUCUUCAGGGCGGGGUCCGGGUGAUAGGGCGUCGGCCCGGACUCCUGACCCAACUCCCCACCAUCAAGUGGAGCGGCCACCAAGCUCUUCAGGAUCUCCUGCGUUUCAGAGAGGACCACAAAUCUGGUGACUGCGGGACUAAAGCUGCUGAAUUGAAUCUGUUUAAUGGUGGAGUUUAAGGGCGCACCAUAAAAUUGUACAUUUUAAUGUAGGCUUUAAUAUUUCUUAUGAUGCAAAACAUUAUUAUUAUUACCGCUGACAAACUCAGGGCACAGAGAAAAAAUGCGACUCAAAACCUUAUUUCUCCAGUCCAUCUGAGUCCAUACGUUUCAAACAUACAAAGGAGCUUUUGCGGAAAAAUCUCAACCCCAUUCAGACAUGUCCUUCAAAUCGUGUAGCAGCAGUGCAAAUGCAGUUCCUGACAACCUUGAACCACAUUUAUCGUCUCUAUCAGUACAAAUACAUACUCAAUUACAAAAUAAAACAUAGUGAAUAUUGGAUGCAGAAAUGAACUAUAGUCAGAGAAGAUGCAUGUUGACUACAGCCUUUCUCAGACGCUAACAUUGAUAUAUAAUUUAGAUUUAUCUGGAUGCAAGCAGGUCUGAGCGGACCCACCUUGACAUUGAUGCCUUUGUUUGUUUGACUAAUGCUGGAGAUGGACGAAGGCGGGGCUUGGCUGGAGGCGGAGCUGGGGUUGUGGGGAGAAUCCAGCAGGCUCUCCUGAGACCUCCUCACGUCAGAUAGGCUGCACAGCAGAUCUGUGCCCCCUCCCCCGCUGACCCCACCUACUCCUCCCAUGUCUCUGUCUCGGUCUCUGUCUGUCUCUCUCCCAACCAGGCCGAGGCCAAGCCCAAGACCCAUCUCCGAGCCAUUCAGGGAGCCGGCCACAUGGCCCUCCUCUCCGAUGCCCGAGUCUGUGUGGGGGAGGCCUGCCCGCGGAGAGUCAUCCACAGGGGUGGGGAUCUGUUUGUCGCGGUCAGAGAAGGCUGUGGAUGGGUGCUCUGGAUUAAUGAGGAGCAAAUAAUGAAUAAAAUGUGAUGUCAUAAGGAUAGCUGCAAAAAAAAUUGCAUUGUCAAGAAAGUCCACAACACAGCUAUUUUCCUCCUGUUUGUAUGAUUUUCCCCUGCCAAGUAACGCAAUUCUCUCCUCCUCCUUCUUGCUUUCUUCCUCCAAGUGUCACAUAUUCUUGACAAAGGAAUUGUUUGUGUCCGUGUGAAGCAUGUAUUCACUACACCAACGCUACAAUAAUGAGUCACCAGUCGUCCGAGAUUAGCCUCUUAAAGAAAUUGCCACUGAAGAAAAAUGAUAAUCACCGGUACUUGUUGGGGAGUUGAUCUCGUGGCGGAUGCUUCUCCCUGAUAGGCUGGUGGACCUGCCGAUCUCCCGCUGGGGUUCCAAAAUGUCCCGGUACUUCGAUACCAUGAGAACUGAGAUAAAGUAGACAACUGCCAGCGCCAGAAACUGAGCUUGCUUACUGUCAUCCUACAGGAAACACACAAAAUUAUUAAGAACAAUGAGAAAACAUUCAGGCAUUUUUUCCCCUCAUAUUUAUAACCACACAAAUACAGUACACGUAAAAAAUACAAACACACACACACACACACACACUUACCACAUCUCUGAAAACCACAGCUCGGAGACGAUUGAUGUCUACAUCCUGCAGGAGUCUGUCUGGAUCCUGCUACAUAUGGAAAAGACAGGUGUGUCAUACAUACGCGUGUCAUAUUUUAAGUGCUGUGCGUGUGUGUGUGUGUGUAUGCAUGUGUGUGUGUGUGUGUGUGGUACCUUGCUGGUGGUGGAGGCACUGUGGAGGCUGUCCUGUGACUUGCUGCUGGUUAAGGAGGACUUGCAGCUUCGGUCUCUCUGUCUCUGCCUGCACUCCAGACAGUUCCUCACUGCCACACAGCACACUGACAAGAGACAAAGAGAGGCAGAGAGGGAACAUGUAGGUUUAAUAUCGUGGUUGAGUAGUCUACAUUUCGUGUACAUUUGUGUUUAGAGUAAAAAUAAAAGUGUGUAUAGUAAAAAUACAAGCUCUAUAAGCCCCGAUGUGUGAUAUAAAUCACGUCUAAGUGAAAUAUAGGACUGCAACACCACAAGCGAUCAUUUUUUAAAUUAAAAUAGUUUACUGUUAAAUAACUAAUCAACUGUUUGACCAUUAGUUGUGUGUAAUAAUACUGUGUAAUAAUAGCAAAUUCAGUAGUUCAUGUUAGACCCAGGGAUCAAAAGACAAAAUAAGAGAAAUUUGGAGUUGCAUGCAUUGCGCCGCACACACAUUUUUGGAUGUCUUAAACAUAAUUUUUUUUGCACCCCUGUCAACAGUAGUGCUGAUUUGUCUGAUUAGUCUACAAAUGUUUUAAAAUUAAUCUAUUGAGCAAAAGUACAGAAUUCUCAGUUUCACGUCAGUGUGAAAAAAUUGCUGCUCUUCUUAGAUUUACGUCAUUGCUGUAAAUUGAAUAUUUUUGGAUGUUAGACAAAAAACAACAACAAUCUCAAUAAGUAAUUUCUUGAAAAUUGAUUAACUGAAAAAGGACUCAUAUUAUAAUCAAAAAUUAUAAUGUGAUAGUUGCAUCCCUACCGAACGGGGCCAUAUGUCUAAACCUAGAAUUAAUCGUUUGAAAAUGUCGACCAAGACUGAAUUCAUGGAGCUUGUCACACACCCAGGCGCAGACAUUGCCGCAUCAGGCCUCCUGACGACAUGUUCUUCUCUGCUUCGAUCUCACUGAAGUUGAGUGAGCUGGCGAACACCAAUACGUCUACCAUGGCCAUGAGACGAGAAAGGAAGGUGACCGCCGUCUCCGAGGACAUGCCCUGCGUCGCCUCGAUGUUCUCCAACUCCGUCUGGGAAAAGGGAGGAUAAAUACACACAUUGCUCGCCAGUUAUUCAGUGUUCAACUAGCACAUGAACAGAAUGAGCGGGAUGUUCUCUCUUUACAAAAGGUGGUGACAUACUGUGGUACCCGGCCUUUUUAAACAAUGGACGUGACCUUUGCAAAAUUGAUGCUGCUGGGUCUCACACAAGCUCGACCCCAACGGCGGUCUUGGCUGGUUUUAACCAACACAAGGACACACAAUCUUGCGUGACAUGCUGUUUAAGUGAAAUACGUACUAAUAUGUAUAUGAAAUCUGGCAACAUGAGGUAAUGGUAACAGUGGGGGGUCGUGAUGGUAGCAGUGGGGCCUGAUUGCAGUGUAGAGAGACAGGCAGAGCUAGCCUAGAAUAUAUUUCACAGACAAUCAAAGUCCCCUUCUGUCUAAAAACCAAUGACAAGAUCUUUAGUGCAUCUACUGAAAAAGAAUCUGAAGGCAGCAUGGCAGUGGAUAAAACUCAAACCAAGUGUGCGGUUUGCAGUGUCUCUGCUUCAGUAAGCAGGAUGUGCAGGGGCUGUGGAGAGUCGCCAAAGUGCAAGCAUCUGCAGGCUCGUCCACGCGAGUGAGCACAGACAUUCGGGGGGGAAAAACAGACACACACGGUGGAGACAGAAGGGCUCAGGUUGGUGCUCUUAGCUCUUCUGGUGAUGGUGAGAGUCUCAGGCUCUUUCUACGCACCUCUGCCCCUGUGCCUCCUCCCCCAGGUACAGGGGUCACCUCCUCUCCCUUUGACCCCCUCUGGGGUCCGGCUCCUCCUGCCUUCUUUAGUGUUGAUACAAAUGGGACAGGCUUAGCAGAUGCGACCCCCAAGGACUUCUGGAAAUCUCUCAUUCUCUCAUGCUCUCAUCUAUUUUAUUUUUUGACCUCUAAACAUAUACUCGUACUCCAAUUUCUCCUUAUUGACCCACCUCCUGGCUUUUUAAUCUAUUCUACAACCUCGCCCCCCCCCCCCCGUUUCUUUAUAUAACAUUUUUAAAUGUUUUUAUGAAUUACAUCUUUAAGAAUUAGAUUACCACAAUAUUUACAAACAGUAUAAAGGGGAGUACCGAUUAGCAGCAAAGGAACACAACAAAUAGAAACAUUAUGGAUGUAAGACAGGCAAGGGGCUAGUCAGUCACAAUGGUAGAUAAACCAGAACAAGGUAUUAGUAGAAUGGAAAGAGAGGAAGAAACCACAACUUACAGCGUUGGCACUAUUCUUAGAACUCUGCACAUGCAAAAAAACAGACAAAAACAGACGCAAAAAGAACGAGAAAAUACAUAGAAUACAUAUAACACAGAGAAGAAAAGAAAAGAAAAAGAAGGAUGAUUAAAAUAAAUAGGUUAAUACACUUUCAAAUCAAAUAUAGUGCUAAUUAACAGGACCAGGACAACGAUCAAAUAAAGGUUAAACUACUAAGCAGCAAGUGAUAGAUUCACAGUUAAAUGUAUAGAAAUACAGAUGAGAGGAAUCCAGAAAAUAGUUUAAUUUAACCAAUUUUUAAAUCCAUAGCCAAACUAAACUGUAUGAAAUUAGUUUUAGAAAUAAGAGGUUGGAAUUAGAUAUUGUAUUAUAUUGAAUUAGAAAGUAUAAAAUUAAACCUUAAAGCCAUGAAAUGCAAGUUUUGAUCUUUCAUGAUUAAAUAAGUAAAAAAAAAUGAAUAGACCCAACAUAUCCUUUAACAUAUUCAAUCGCGAGAGAUCAACGCUACCCUGAGCGUGAACGGUAAUCAGGUUUAGGGAGGUUCUUCAAAGUCUUUGCCUGGUGUCAUCCCCCCCUCCAGUCCUAAAUGAAGCAGCUGUUGACCUGCAGUUACCCCUCCUACCACAGGGGGGCGGAGUAGAGCCACUUACUGAGGGGGAGGUGGCAGCAGACAGCAGGGGCAGGAUGCCUCCACAGGCGAUGAUGAUGUUGUCCACCAUCUGAGAAAUGAGGUGGAUCGUGUUGUGAACGAAGAUGAUGUUUUCAUUGCUGUUCACAAAAUCCAUCACUGACUUGGUGGAGUGGCUGAAAUGGAGAAUAACAGAGUUUGACGAAUGAUACAACAAUAUUGGAUACAUCAUCAGUGAAAUAAAGACAUCAAUGGUG